UACGUAGGGGGCAAGCGUUGGCCGGAAUCAUUGGGCGUAAAGCGCGUGUAGGCGGCCCGGUAAGUCCGCUGUGAAAGUCCAGGGCUCAACCCUGGGAUGCCGGUGGAUACUGUCGGGCUCGAGUCCGGAAGAGGCGAGUGGAAUUCCUGGUGUAGCGGUGAAAUGCGCAGAUAUCAGGAGGAACACCGAUGGCGAAGGCAGGUCUCUGGGCCAUAACUGACGCUGAGAAGCGAAAGCAUGGGGAGCGAACAGG
rnacentral:rRNA from 1 species